GGCUGGCCUGCUGACCGACUGGUGGAGGAGAUAAUAAUAGCAUUCUGCUGGCACACUGAUGAUGGCGUCAGCGAAUAGGACUUGCAUCGCCGUAAAAAGGACUUAUGGCUUCAACCGAGGGAAAGGACCGACUGGCUGACGGACUGGUGGAGCUGACGGACUGGUGGAGCUGACGGACUGGUGGAGGAGAUAAUAAUAACAUGACACCUGCUGACCCACUGAUGAUGGCGUCAGCGAAUAGGACCUGCAUCGCCGUAAAAAGGACUUAGGACUUCAACCGAGGGAAAGGACCGACUAGCUGACGGACUGGUGGAGCUGACGGACUGGUGGAGCUGGAGCUGACGGACUGGUGGAGAGAAUACCAUCUUUAACAGAAUGCCCUACCACCAACACAGGUCAAGCAGCCAACGAACAAGUCACUACUCCCAACAGCACAAUCACCUCCGCCAUGCCCAGCAACAGUAACACCAAUACCAACUCCAAGAAGACGACCAGUUCCAGCCAAACGCAAGCCGAGGACACUCCCUUCAAGCCCUUCACCUGACUCCACAACUACACAAGCAGCCUCAACCAGUCCACUAGAAACAGAAUCACCAAUGACAACAACCUGCACAACAUCAACACCAGUCACAACAGCAACACCAGUCACAACAGCAACACCAGUCACAACAUCAACACCAGUCACAACAGCAACACCAGUCACAACAUCAACACCAGU
rnacentral:lncRNA from 1 species